rnacentral:rRNA from 1 species
UACGUAUGGUGCAAGCGUUAUCCGGAUUUACUGGGUGUAAAGGGAGCGCAGGCGGCACGGCAAGCCUGAUGUGAAAGCCCGCGGCCCAACCGCGGGACCGCAUUGGGAACUACCGGGCUGGAGUGCCGGAGAGGUAGGCGGAAUUCCUAGUGUAGCGGUGAAAUGCGUAGAUAUUAGGAGGAACACCAGUGGCGGAGGCGGCCUACUGGACGGUGACUGACGCUGAGGCUCGAAAGCGUGGGGAGCAAACAGG